rnacentral:lncRNA from 1 species
UUGCAACUCUUACAUUUUUCACUUUAAAUUUUAAUCAGAAAAUAUCGAAGAAUCAAUAGCUAAACUUUGAAAGGUUCCGAAAGCAAACCUGAUUAUAAGUUAGUGAAUUAAUGAUUUAAUAUGUUACUGAAUAAUCAAUAAUUGCUAUCAGAUGUUCUGAAUCGCUCUUACUAAAUAUGUUUUGGGAAUUUUGUGAUUACAUGAUGAAGUUUCAGGCAGGCAUGCUGAACUGAAGAAGACAUCAGCAGUGUCACAGACAGUGGAUUGAGUGCAGCCUCAGCAGGUUUUGCAGAUGACACCAAGCUGAGUUGUGUGGGUGACACUCCUGAAGGAUGGGAUGCCAUCCAGAGGGACCUGGACAAGCCCAAGCAGUGGCCCAUGGGAAUCUCAUGAGGUUUAACAGAUCAAGUCCAAGCUGCUGCAGCUGGGACAGGACAACCCUUGGUACCAAUCCAGGCUGGACAUGAGCAGCCCCAGAGCAGCCCUGGGAGAAGGACUUGGGGGUGCUGGUGAUGAGAGGCUGGACAUGGCCCGGCCGUGUGCGCUGGGAGCCCAGGAACCCCCCGUGUGCUGGGCUGCAUCCAGAGCCCCGUGGGCAGCAGGGCAGGGAGGGGAUUCUGCCCCUCUGCCCCUCUCUGCUCAGACCCCACCUGCAGGGCUGCAUCCAGCCCUGGGCUCCCAGCACAGGAAGGACAGGGAGCUGCUGGAGCCGGCCCAGAGGAGACACCAAGGUGAUCAGAGGGAUGGAACAGCUCUGCUGUGAGGAAAGGCUGAGAGAAUUGGGGCUGUUCAGCCUGGAAGAAAGAAGGCUUUGGGGUGACUGAAUUGCAGCCUUCCAGCACCUGAAGAGAGCCCACAGGAAAGAUGGAGAGAGACUAUUUACAGGGCCCUGGGGUGACAGGACAAGGGGGAAUGGGUUCAAACUGACAGAGAGUAGGUUUAGGUCAGAUAUUAGGCAGAAAUUCCUUACUGUGAGGUUCGUGAGGCAUUGGCACAGGAAAAGCUGUGGCUGCCCUGUCCCUGUGAGUGUUCAAGGCCAGUUUGGAUGGGGCUCUGAGCAACCUGGUCUAGUGGAAAGUGCCCCUGCCCAUGGCAGGUCCCUUGGAACUCAAACCCUUCUAAGGUUCUAUGAUUCCCUGAUUUUCAGAAGCCCCUAUUCUGAUGUCACAAGGAUCUGUGCUCCAACAGUGGAUUUGCCACCUCAGUUGAGCCAUGGCUGCCUCCAAGCUGACCCAUGUCCUAGGUUAUCUGUCCAGCUCUGGGUGGGAGCUCAUGGCUUUUCACCUUCUGUGCACAAAGGCGGUGUCUGGCAGCUUGGAGUGAGGAGCAGGAUUGCUUUGGCCCAGCGAGGGCAGCACUGGAAACCUGUGUGUGCAUCCAAUAAUGCAAUGGCUGGAAGACAAGGAAGUGGCAGAGUAGCUGGGUGGAUGCAGUGGAUAUUGGCAAUAAUUCUGAUGCUGUGGGGUCACCAGAUCAGUGGACAAGGACAAGCCUUGCAAGAGAGAAUAAAGAGUAGAAAUGAGGUUUGGGAGAGCAGCUUACCUCAAGAGAGGAGGUGGAGUAGGACGGAGACCCAAGGUGAGAUUCCCUCUGGCUUUUUUUCUCAUAUAGGGAGAACUAGAUGUAUUCAGAACUGAGAUUUGCAGUUAGGCCAAUUAUUAUUUUAUCUGAAAUAUUCAUUGUGAACUGGGAUGUCACUGGCUUAUAAAUACAUCUAACUGUGUGUUUGUUAACUGGACAAAUUAGACCCACUGUGAGUUUUUUAUCCCUUUCCACAUCCACGCUUGACCUAAAUGUUUUAACCCCUGGCUUUUGGUAUGUUUAGUGGAAAUCACUGUAUAAUGUUUUAAACUAUUCUAACAUAACAUCCAAACUGCUGAAAUCUAGAGGUUCAUAUUUUGGUAUGAUUCUUGAAGAGUUAAUAUGCCUUAGUGUGCAUUAACACUGUGAACAAAUGUCUAUACACAGCAGAUACCUCUUCCAGCAAGGAAGGAAGCAUAGUUGUUGCAAAUCAGGGCACAGAAUAAGCUGAAAGUGUUUCUAAUGAAAGAAGAAACGGGAGUGUACUUUUGUUGAAGGGUGGA